rnacentral:rRNA from 1 species
AUGACAUUGCGGCACGUGCGAGACACUAUUUGGCGCCCCCCACUAGCAGAGGAUGCAGAAAUUUUGCCAGUCACUGGCUCGCCCAGCACGAAUCAGGUCAUGACAUUGCAUUAUGGCAGGAGAUAA